GCAGAGUGGGACAAGGAGCGAAGGAAAAAACCAAAAUGCCCUGUAGGAGAAUGAAGAGAAGGAAAGAUCAAUCCACAAAAUCCCUGCAAGUAGCCACAGACCUGGAUGCAAUUGUGUAUCAUAACAUGGUUUUUAUGCCAGAAAUCCGCAAACAGCCUUCACGUCCUGCAUGGCUGUCGACUAAAUCGUGGCUCCCCCCAAAUCCGUAAGUUGAAGGCCUCACCCCCAGUGUGGUAUUUGCACAGGCGGCUUUUGGUAGGUAAUCGGGGUUAGAUGAAUCAUGAGGGUAGAGACAUCAGAGAACUAACGGUCUGGGUCUCUCUCUGUCUCUCCCUCCUUCUCUCUCUCUGAGCCACAUGCACAGCAAGAAGACGGCUGUGUGCGAGCCAGGAGGAGGGUCCACACCUGAACUGAUGCCAUGAUCCGGGACUUACAGUCUCCAGAACUGUAUUCUCAUUGUCACCUUCCUCCAGUCGGCUGAGAUGUCACCUCCUCCGAUCACCCUUUUGGAAACUGCAAUCUCCCCCUUGCCCUGCCCUAUUGUUUCAUUUCUCCAUAACACUCACAUGUUAUAUAAUUCACUUAUUAUAUUUAUUGCCUACUGGCUCUCUCUUUCUAUUACAAGAAAGUUCCAUGAAA